rnacentral:rRNA from 1 species
AUGACGCGGCGGAUGCUUACACUGCAAGUCGAACGGUAGAGGGGGCAACCCCUUGAGAGUGGGAACGGGUGGUAAUAAUCGGAACGUGCCCAGUCGUGGGGGAUAACGUAGUGAAAAUUACGCUAAUACCGCAUACGAUCUAAGGAUGAAAGCGGGGGAUCGCAAGACCUCGCGCGACUGGAGCGGCCGAUAUCAGAUUAGGUAGUUGGUAGGGUAAAGGCCUACCAAGCCAACGAUCUGUAGCUGGUCUGAGAGGACGACCAGCCACACUGGAACUGAGACACGGUCCAGACUCCUACGGGAGGCAGCAGUGGGGAAUUUUGGACAAUGGGCGAAAGCCUGAUCCAGCCAUUCCGCGUGCAGGAUGAAGGCCCUCGGGUUGUAAACUGCUUUUGUACAGAACGAAAAGGUUUCUAUUAAUACUAGGAGCUCAUGACGGUACUGUAAGAAUAAGCACCGGCUAACUACGUGCCAGCAGCCGCGGUAAUACGUAGGGUGCAAGCGUUAAUCGGAAUUACUGGGCGUAAAGCGUGCGCAGGCGGUUAUAUAAGUCAGAUGUGAAAUCCCCGGGCUCAACCUGGGAACUGCAUUUGAGACUGUAUAGCUAGAGUACGGUAGAGGGGGAUGGAAUUCCGCGUGUAGC